rnacentral:rRNA from 1 species
UACGUAGGGUGCGAGCGUUGUCCGGAAUUAUUGGGCGUAAAGAGCUCGUAGGCGGUCUGUCGCGUCGAAUGUGAAAACCCGGGGCUCAACCCCGGGCCUGCAUUCGAUACGGGCAGACUAGAGUCCGGUAGGGGAGCGUGGAAUUCCUGGUGUAGCGGUGAAAUGCGCAGAUAUCAGGAGGAACACCAGCGGCGAAGGCGGCGCUCUGGGCCGGUACUGACACUGAGGAGCGAAAGCGUGGGUAGCAAACAGG